rnacentral:piRNA from 1 species
UUCCUGUUCUGAUUUCCUUUGACUGUGAUGU